rnacentral:ncRNA from 1 species
AUAAAGCCGUUUGAAAAAGCAAAGUAAGAUAACAAAAAUGUAUUUAAGAGAGAAUAGGUCAAAGGCUGAAAGCCUAUUUAUUACAAGCUUAUCCGAAAUUUCACUUUUUAGGUCUUAUAUUGAAACAACAGUAGGUAUAAGCGUGAGCUAGCGUUAAUAGCAUAAUGAGGUUAAUUAUUUAAUUAAUAAAUUUAGGUGGUAACACGGUAAAAAUCGUCCUAUGU